GAGAAGAGCUAUCGGCGGGUCCGCCCUGGUUGUGAAACCUACGCAUGCGCAAAACGGACCCGCCGGUUUCUACGGCAGGCCCUAGCACCGCAGUUUCAAGGAGCGUGAUCAGAAUCAAAAUUAUGGUUUGAUGUGGGUUUAAGAUCCAUAUGGUGCCACUUGUUUAUGUGUCAUACCCAGCCCAAGGAAAUGGAAAUGACAGAUUCUGAAUUUGUGCUUGAAUUCCUCCCCAUGAAGCACUGCAGAAUCAAACAUUUCAACAAGGUUUCCAAGCUGCUGGACACAAAAGAAGCAGAGAAGAAACUGGAGGGCCCAUAUUCAUCUAUAUAUAGGACAUCUAUAUCCAGAGGAUGAUAGUCUUCACAGCCUGGGUUCACAUAACAUACUCAUUGAACUAUUGAAUCCAGACUGUAUGAUUAAUGUAUAGUUGUGAAUCUAUAUCAUUUAGCAAACCAUAUCUCAGUUCACCAGGAAUUAGUACAAUAUUCAUAUUGAACCACACUGUCAAGAUCAGAAGCAAAUUAUGUUUUAAAUAACACUUUAAGUACCAGUUCUACUUUAACAGAAAAGAACUGUUUCCCAAAGCUACUUGCUUUACAAUAAGGAUAGAUGGAAUAGUUUCAGUCUAUUCAUAGGUCUUUGGUUUAUAAGUUUCUGGCUCCCAGUUGUUUAAUAAUUCUGCCUAAAAUUUCUGAAAUGGAAAUAGUUUGAGGAAAACAAAUGUACUUCUUUAAAUCUUGAUGCAUGUUCCCUUUUGCAUCCUAAUUCUGACUGAUAGAUCUUGGCAGUCCAUCUGAGUUCCCACUACAUACUGUAGAUCUUGUAUAUGUUCUGUUUGGCUAAAUCCCAUAUCUUUGGAAUUUAUUAACACAAAAAAAAUUGUCAACAUUUAACACAUGAGGACAGCCAAAAUAAUUGUUAUAAAAUAUAACUACCCCUGAUUUGCUGCAUUAGAUUUUGGUAAUACUUGACUAUUAGUCUUCAAAUUAGAAUUGCAUUUCUUAUACAAAGGAAUGAAUAAAAUAAUUUUUGAACAAUUUGGUUAAAUGAUUUGGAAUUUUGUUUAUGAGAUAUUUUUCAGGCUACAGGGUGUUUAAAAGACAUCAAUGU